ensembl:lncRNA
CAUCUGGGUCUCAGGGGCACCCUCUGCCUUUAAGGAUGUUGAAGGGUGAAUUAACAGUAUCUCUGCGAUCCAGGCCCUCGGGCACUUUCAGUCUGUCCGUGGCCUGCAUGAGCCACAUGUGAACAUGGCAACGAGGCCAACCCAGGGAUGGAAAGCAUUCCUCCUAAAGACUUGAGAAGCUCUCACUGGGGCGUAGGGAACCUUGGCUCUGGUUCUGACUAUGAUGCUAGUAUCUCCUAUUUUGGUAGCUUCAAGCCAAUCACUUCACCCACCGGAGUCUCUUUUACUUGUAGAACGAAGAGGCUGAGAUUCGGAUUUUGCAGAGGAACAUCUGAGGUGCCAUUUCUGGAUGAGCGAGGAGUUAAGCACCAUCUUGGGACCCGGACAGCCUCAGCAGCCAGUUCUUCUGGGACACUUCUCCGUGGGACUGUCUCUCCGGGAUGGGAUGACUGGCUGGGAAGCAGGCUCUGCUGAGGGUCCUCUUCCUUCAUCGGAGUCGGCAACCCGGCGCGGCCCUGUGCCUGCCGUGGGCAGCAGGGAUGGCUCAGGAGUUCUAGCCCCACCAGGACUGGAGGCCCCGUCGAGGCUCCUACCUUGCCUGAGGAAAAAGUAAGGCUCCAGUAUCCCCAGGGGUACCCCGCUUUCAGCCAGCGGAUGCUGCAGGUGCAAGCAUUCUCCUGGUGCUGUCUGACACCCCUCCUUUCCUCUGAGGACGUGGAGAGUGCAGAGCAGACAGGAAAGACAGACACUGGGGAUGGAGAGGGGGGCGGGGGGCCUUUCGUGAAUAAAGGCAGCUUCAGUUAGUAAGAGACAUAACUGACAAGCUGCAAAAGCAGCACCUACUCAUUAGUCAUUGACUAAAACAUAUAAAUAAUAAAUACCAGGGCCUCCCCGGCCCCCAGGACACGCGCCUGGCGCCUGGCCUGCGGAGUGGGGCCUGCAGUACCGUCACGCCCACAGGGAUGGGCUUUCCGGGGCAGGGCAGCUGGCAACCGGCGGGGGUAGGGUGGGGUGGGCGGGGGGUGUCUUGGCCAAGGAAAGCCUGUCCUGGGGGGGAGCUGGACUGAAGAAGGAAGGGGCCUCGGACCGGGCUCUCCAGUGGAGCAGGGCCUGCCCCCCGAGGCACACCGCAAGGACACGUUUCAGACUUAUGGCAACUCAAGCACUUGGGAGAACACUGUUGUUUGUUUAGGUUUGAACCCAUCUGAUGCUCAGGCUUCCAGCUUCCACCCCGCACGGGAGAGGGGCCUGCUGGCACCUCAGAGGAGGAAGGGCAUGAAUUUAAAAACCAAAUCUGAACUUCUUGGAUGCAAAAAGUCUGGGCACUUCCCUACAGCACCAGGGUGGGGAGGGCAAUUCACCAAGGUCUGGAAUGCCCAACCUCAGAGUGGAAGGGCUCGGGCAGGGGCGGGUAUUGCUGUGCAGUGCNCCAAAAAAAAAAAAAAAAAAAGUAGUGGCCUCAGGAAGAAGAGGCCCUGCAGUGCCCUGCAGGGCCGUGCCCCCUGCUGACCACAACCUGGUUCUUCAGGGGUGUGUCCUGUGUGUGUUGCAAGUGCCCUGUUGUGGCUGAGCCACAUCUGCCUUCAAUCCAGUCGUGUCUCCAAUGGCUGUGUACCUACUGGGGGCAGGGUUUGGUCCCUGUGGUGGCAGCCAGCCAGUCUGGGGCCACCGUGGGCUUGAGGGGAGUCAGACGAGGCAUUUGCUGGAGAUGCAGGAGCCCCCACCUGUAGGCCGCUCUCCUGUCAUCCCCUGAGAAGGGUGGGCCCACAGUCAGACAAGGUUUCUUCCCCCAGCCCAUCCCUCCGGUCGGUGGGAUGGGUCUGUAUGGGUACCUCUCCCUCGCCGUGGGGGAGGAGUCCCUUUGGAGUGGUGGUGGCCCUUGAUGCGGCUGCUGGCACACUGCCAGGCUUGAAGCCCCAGUGCGAGGGCUCUGGCCAGGAGCGUACCGG